ACAGGUUGUGCCAAGCAGUCACAUACAACUCAGUAAUUCUCUGACUAUGAGAGCACACACUCAUGACAGUUUUCAGUGGCUCCCUUUUUUGCUUGUAAGUCUUCCUCUUAACACUUGAAAUCCGCUUAACAAAAAAAUGGCAAAACAAUCUGAGAGUUGUAUUCAGGUAAGAAAUUUUCUCCAAAACAUCUGAAAAGUGGAAGAGAUAGAAUAAUUGACAUGACUGAAACAGGUACUAUUAGAAUAUCCCAUUCCUCUGUUGAGGCCAAAUUACAGUUAUCAAAAUAGAAAGAUUUUGUACUAGUAAUUAAAAACCUCACAAUAUCUAAUGCAGAGAAACUAAGUAGUCACUACACUACUAAAUUACCUCUAUCCCUAACCUGUUUCCUUUUUCUCCUUCAAGGAACAUGCACAACCAUAAAAGAGCUACUGUGCCUUUUUUCAAAUCUACUACUCUUCUUUUAACAAUCUCUUAUGUGCACCAUUUAAGCUGGAAGAAGAGAUGGGAAAUGAGGAUAACAAGCUCAGAAUAUCAACCUUCGUGAAGCUGGCAUAUUCUUCAGAGAGGAUGGAAUAACCUGUAACCUCAAAACUGUUCAAGACUAAAGGAGCAAAGUUCAAUACAAAAUUUUUAAUCAGCUGAAAUUUUCAACUCCAUCACUUCAGAAAAUCAUUUCUGGAACCACAGAGAAAACCUCCUGGAUCAAGAAACACAUUGCUGAUACUAUUUUUUAACCUAUGACAGCAUGAACCACAGAAAUCACUUCCUUAUAUUAAGGGUCAUGAAGAAUGUGCUUGGUUGAGCACCUGCACUGAAGCACUAUUUUUUUUUUCCCCUCAGUAAACCUACUACUAUUUCUUUGUUGUUCCAGCAUAUAAAAAUAUGUAUAUACUGCUAAGUUCUGCCAUAAAGCUCAAGAAUGCCAAAGUUUAAAAGAAAAUGAAAACAAUUCAAACAACAAUGUGCUGAUAUCUGCAAGGAAAUAACCAGCCAUAAUCUUACCAGUAUUAAGAUGGAAACAAAAACUGAGGAGGAAGCAUCUUUCUAAUAAUGUGGAACUUGCUGAGAGGAAUUGUGUAUUUCAAAUACUUUUAAACAGAAUGAAUAAAUAAAUAGAAUUUAAACUCCCCUAUUUUUCAGAGAUCACAAAUGCAUCCUGAGCUCAGAAAGGUAAAACAGGAGAAAAACAAAUAUCUCGUAUCAGAUUGUUCUACUGCACAUAUAAAAGCAGAAUCAUAUAACCAAAGUGUGUAUUAUGAACAGAUGGGUAUGACAGGUUUGAAAGGAAAUAGUGAUACACCCAUUUGGGCACACAAGGUCUUUUGUUUUCUCAUGCAGAAAUCACAAAGAGGUUUUAUGCUUUAUUUCUUUGCUGAAACAUCUAACUAACCACGUGCAAGUCUGACUGACUCCUUAGCAGUGUGACAUCUGUUCUGCUCCCUAUGAACUUAAAAAGUUUAUAAAUAUGCACCUAUUUAAUCCUACAUCUGAGACUAUUUUAUAUAUUAUAUCUUUAUACAUAUGAAUACAUAAUGAGUUACAAGUAGGUAUCUACUUAAAUCAAGAUAUAAGAAUGAUAUUUAUUUUCAUACAUAAUUGACAGCUUUGGGCCCCUUCAACUGAAGGCCAACUGUAGUCACCUUAUAAGGGUCAGAAUUUGAGACUAAGCCUCAUUACCUUUUGGAAAUAUCAGAUCUUGUAUUGUUUGGAACAUAUAAUGUUCCAUAAGAUUGGCAAAUUUCCAUAUGGCCCAUAUGUUGCCAUAUAUGUAUAAGACAAAACCACAUCCACGUUCAGUUAGUUUCAGGGCUGAGGCCAAAAUCAAUAUUUAGGUAGGUACUGAUUACAGGUAAUUUUGCUUAAUAGGCUCUUACUUCAGGUAAAACCAACAGAGGUUUUAUCUUACUCUUCCUUGAAUUUUGCCUUUCAUUUGAGUUGUUUCCCUAUUCCAACCUACAAGUGUGCAAACUCUCUGAAUUUCUUAAUUUCAUUUUCUGGAACAUGGCCCAAUACAGUAAAUAAAGCAAGUAUUAGUUAUUCUCUCCUUCCACAGUCAUGCCACAUAGGCAAAAGUGAAGUGUCUGCAGCUUUAAAUAUUGUGGGAUCUAACUUGUAAAAGACUAAAAGUAGAAAAAUUGAGCUAACUGUAAGAAGUGAGCCUGUAAUUAUUCCUUUCACAGAUAAUGUAUUUUGAUCUUGGAAGAAAACAUUUUUCCUCCUUGUCUCCUUCAUUAUUUCUUAAAUGAAGCAAAGAGGAGAAAAGGUUUACCCCAUUCUCAAUGCAAUGACUUUUCCAUUUUUUAUUUUGUCAUAUGAACAUGAGGAUAUACAGGUUUUAGUAUUAUUUUAGUAGCAUAUUUGAAGCCCAGAAUGCAUUUUUCUUUGUCUUUUCCUUUAAUAAAAUACAUUAUAAUGCCAAGAACCAUUCUUGCUACAUAAUUUUAUGGACCCCAGAGAAAAAAGCUUGAGACUUAGUAAGUUGCACCUGUAUUUUUCAUUACCCUUUGAACUUUUAG